CACCAGGUUGAUUCUGCCUGACGUAGACGCUAUACUCUAAGAUUAACCCAUGCAUGUUUAUUGAAUAUAAAGAAAAGACGAACAGCUCAGUAACUCUUAUUUGAUUUGAUGUAUUAGGAUUCUAACUAUGUUAAAUUAUAGGUAACAAUAAUACAAUAAGAAUAAGAUCUAUCAGUUAGUUGUUAAGGUAAUGGCUUAACAAGACUAUGACGGAUAACGGUAUUACUUUGUAAUAUUCCGGAGAAGGAGCCUGAGAGAUUGCUACUAAGUCUAAGGAUUGCAGCAGGGGCGAAACUUGACCUAUGAUAUUAUAUUGAGGCAGUUAUGAGUAGUAUUUUAUAAUUAUUGUAGUAUUGUAAGUACAUAUUACAAGAUAAAUCGGAGGGCAAAUCGAGUGCCAGCA
rnacentral:rRNA from 3 species